AGCAGCCGCGGUAAUUCCAGUUCCAAUAGCGUAUAUUAAAGUUGUUGCAGUUAAAAGCUCGUAGUUGAAUUUCGGGAUCAAUACGUCGGUCGUGCUUCGGUACGUACUGGCGUAAUUGAUUUCUCCCUUCUGACGAACCAUGAUGUCAUUAACUUGGUGUCAUGGGAAAUCAGGACUGUUACUUUGAAAAAUUGAGUGUUUAAAGCAGGCUCACGCUUGAAUACAUUAGCAUGGAAUAAUGAAAUAGGACGUUCGAUCCUAUUUUGUGGUUUUAGGAUCAACG
rnacentral:misc_RNA from 1 species